rnacentral:rRNA from 1 species
UACGUAGGAUGCAAGCGUUGUCCGGAAUUAUUGGGCGUAAAGAGCGCGCAGGCGGUAUGACAAGUCAGAUGUGAAAGAGGCCGGCUUAACCGGCAAGGGUCAUUUGAAACUGUCAGACUAGAGUGCAGCAGAGGAUAGUGGAAUUCCCGGUGUAGUGGUGAAAUGCGUAGAUAUCGGGAGGAACACCAGUGGCGAAGGCGACUAUCUGGGCUGCAACUGACGCUGAGGCACGAAAGCGUGGGGAGCAAACAGG